UCCUUUGUGCCUCUCUCAACUCUCGUCGUCUUUUUCCUCCUUGCAGCUUCAAAAGGGGCUCAUACGUCAUAAUGGAGAUGAAGGCUCUUGACAGUGACAGUGGGUUUGGGGACGAUGGCGAUGUCAACAGCAAUGAGUUGAAUGAAGAGGAUGACUUUGAUGGUGAACACGACGGUGAGGAGGAGGAAGAAGAAUCAGAAAAUGAGGAAGAAGAUGGAGAAGAAGUUGGGGAAGAGGAAAAUGAUGAUGGGAAAAACGUUAAUAAAGAUGCCGAGAUGGAAGAACUCGAGAAAGAAUACAUGAAUCUUCGUCAUCAGGAGCAGUAAGAGACUUCUGUUCACAAAUCCUUUUAUUUUUAAUUAUAAACUUGUGAUGCUUCAUUAGAAUGAAGACAUAGAGCUAAAUAAUGUGACUAUAGGAGAUAAUAUGCAUAGCAGUUGCAGGUUGGUGACGAAAUUUGAUAUUAGUUUACAGAAGUCAUUGAAUAAUGUAAAUUAAUUUUGUUACUAAGAAAGCACAAAAUGGAGUUAUAUAAUGUGACUAUAGGAGAUAAUAUGCUUAGCAGUUGCAGCUAUAGGAAUUGAACACUAGUGCCAUUUUCAUCUUAGCUCAAGGCUAAUUUUCAUCUUAGCACAAAAUGGAGUUAUAUAGGCUGACAUAUGAAGUUAAUUUUGUUCUUCGUUUAUUCUCUCUUCCCAUGUAGUGAUAUUUUAAAGAAAGAUCUUCUUAAGGGUCAAGCAGUGAAAAGGUGCGUUGUUCAAAAUAAUAACUCUUGUAAUAUCCAUGAAAUAGGUUUUGUUUUUCAACAUCAAAUUAUUGCUCCUUGUUUAAAGCUUCUUUUUAUGCCAAUCCUUAAAGUUGAAAAAAAUGAUUUAUGUAGUGAAUUAUUGUCUGAUCGAUGUUUAUUCUUACCCAUUUUCUAUGCCUUUUGUUUUCAUUUUUCUGAAGGCUCUGUGGGACAAGGCUCUUGAGUUCAGAUUCUUGCUUCAGAAAGCAUUCUCAAGUUCACAUAGAAUCAUGGAUUGCCACAGGCUUUACUUGAGAAGAACCCGUCCUUUGUUCAAGCAACAGAUGGUAAAUCUGGAUGAUCUAGGAUGUCACAGUCAUCUAAGAACAUUGAUGGUGAUGAGGAUUGGUCACAGAUUUCUGAGUUGCUGUCGAGGUACUCAGAUCAUAAUUAGAUAUUCUGAGAAGAAGAAUCAUAUUCUACUAUCUACAUAUGCUCUUAUUGUAUUGAAGUCUACCUAUAAAACUGAAUUUUUUUUCCUUCUUCAUGCCAUACUUCACCGAUCCAUUUGGAGCAGCAAAAAAGAACUUCGGAAUUUUGUUGUUUUAUUGUUAAAAUGCUCGUAAAUGUGUGGAUUCAAGUACCUUACUAUUAUUGCUGUAUUUCAAUACCUUAGUGUCUAACUUUUCUUAUAUUUUAAUACAUAGUUCUUAUCAGUUAAUAAAUGAGGAUAUUAUGUUAUUAAGUUUGUCAACUGUUCAAUAUGACAUGUACCAGACGAUGGUUUUCUGAAGUCAAAUUCCGUUAGGCACUAAUUAAAUUAGUUUGCUAUCUAAAGGGCCGGCAAAGAACCAUGAAAUGCAUUUGUAUAUUAUACUUGUAAAAAAUCUAUGUUGCCAUAUGUUUACUUUAAGCAUACUCUUGGGCAGUUCUGCUAUGAAUUCUUUCAUGCUCCGACAACUUCUCUUGCAUGAAUUUUAGAAAUUUGUUCUACUAUGAUCAACUUUUCAUUAUUGUGUGCAUUUCUAUGCGGGUUACUUGGUCCAACCAAGACCUGUCACAUUGUGUCUUGUAGAAUAGCUACUUUCGGAUUCAAAUCGAUAGACAAAUGGCAGAGGUAGGCAGAUGUAGAUGAGGAAAUCAGCAGUUGCUGUAUUGGGUACUGUCCCUGAGGGGUACAACACUGCAAAGGGAGAGAAAUUAAGUACAUUCAUUCCUUCACUCUGAUAGGAGACACAAUCUGAUGCUGUGCACAAGCUGAUGGUGACCUCGAACUUUCGGGUGACUCUGAUUUUUGCCAACAAUUACUGAAAGAAUUUUUUGAUACAAUUGACCCAGCAACUUCUGGUAAAACUAUUAGGGCAUCUCAUACUUCAUAUAUGAAUGAUUGCAUUUGAAUUUGAUAUAUGAUACGGUUUACCCAAUCUAUAAGAUUUCCUGUAGUUCAAAACACAUGCAAUCAGAUUGCAUAUAAAAAGUGUGGCUUUUGAAAUUGUUAAGGAUUGUAUCCUCCCAAGUUAUAUACAGAGUGGAUGAACAUGAUUUUCAAACAAUUUGGACUCAUCUAACCAACUUUAAGUAACUAAGUCUGAGCCAUGAGAAAAGUUUCGUUCAAACAAUCUGCAUCUGCAGCUAUUGAAGUCAAUGACAUAGUAUUGUCUCUGCUUAUAGUGGGCUUGGAACCUAAUCGGUCCCGAACUUCUAUUCUUCAAUUUUUUAUAUUUUUGUAACUUCAAAAAUGAAACAAGCUAGCAGUUAUUCCUGCUAACAAUCACAACCUAAUUGAUCCUGAACUUCUUUUGUUUAUUGAUUCUGAUUUUGCACUAUUUGAUUAUUCGCAGAGACAUCAUUUUAUUCCUUGAAAAAGUUGCAUGGUAAGAAGAGGAAGAUUGUUGACAGAAGAGCCUCUAAUAGUCGCAAGAUAAGGUAUAAUGUUUAUGAGAAGAUAGUAAAUUUCAUGGCUCCAGAGACCAUGGUCGUUGCUCCUAUGCUUCCGGACCUCAAUAAUUUGUUCGGGUUGAAGAAGCAGAAACCAGCUUCCGUAGUGUAGUAGCGAUGCAAGGCUGAAUCAGCUGUAUAGUCCUUGAAUCUCAGGCUAAGAAAUUGUCUGCUGUUAAUUUAUUUGAUAUAUUAUUCAAUCUAUUAUCUGUUGCACCGAUAUUUAUGUAAUUUACACAAUUUUUCAAUGGGAGCCGAGUCUUUAAGAAGUAUGA